GAAGCAUUUUUGGUAUACAUCAUAACCAACAAUAAGAAGGAGGAAGUGGCUCAAAAGGAGUAAGGACUCUCCAUUCAGAGGUGCCGCAUCUAGGCCCUACAUUAUGGGUGAAACCCUUGAGGCUGACACACAUCCACUCAAAUGUUCCAAUUCUGACUGACUCAGGAGGCAGGAAGAGCAAGCCCGCAUGCCAUUUGAUCGUUUACAGGAAAUUGGGACACAGAAAAAUAGAGCGGAACCUAC